UAUAUAAUUAAAAACAUAACUUAUAUAAGUUCAUAAUUGGUUGAACGUUUCUACCAACUACCAUAAUAGUUGAUUGUAAGUUAAUUCUAUUAAAAG
rnacentral:ncRNA from 2 species